rnacentral:lncRNA from 1 species
CAUGAUCCAUUCAACAGCAACCCUGCCAUUUUGCAUUUGAUCUCCCAUGACCAAAACACAAUGUUUGCAAACAUCACAUAGCAGAACCAUUUACCUUGCCUUGGCCAUUCCUCAAAAAUUUGUUAACUUCCCUAGCCUUGCAUUGCAUCCCUUUUUCCUGCCAUAACAAAACCAGGAGCAGACCAACAAUUACUCCCUCAAGAAUCAUCUCAUAGGCUUGGCUAAGAAUCUAAACACACAAGACCAAACAUAGCUGAGCUUACCUACUUCAAGUUCUCAUCAUUCCAAAGCAUCAGGAAGGGCUGUUU